rnacentral:rRNA from 1 species
UACGGGAGGCAGCAGUGGGGAAUAUUGCACAAUGGGCGCAAGCCUGAUGCAGCCAUGCCGCGUGUAUGAAGAAGGCCUUCGGGUUGUAAAGUACUUUCAGUCGUGAGGAAGGUGUUAAGGUUAAUAACCUUAGCAAUUGACGUUAGCGACAGAAGAAGCACCGGCUAACUCCGUGCCAGCAGCCGCGGUAAUACGGAGGGUGCGAGCGUUAAUCGGAAUUACUGGGCGUAAAGGGCACGCAGGCGGUUAAUUAAGUUGGAUGUGAAAUCCCCGGGCUUAACCUGGGAAUGGCAUUCAAGACUGGUUAGCUAGAGUCUUGUAGAGGGGGUAGAAUUCCAUGUGUAGCGGUGAAAUGCGUAGAGAUGUGGAGGAAUACCGGUGGCGAAGGCGGCCCCUGGGACAAAGACUGACGCUCACGUGCGAAAGCGUGGGGAGCAAACAGGGAUUAGAUACC